CUGCCCGUUGUGUUUUGUUCGAUCGCUGAGAACCACUGAGAACAGCCUGGCUCCAUCCUCUGGCACCUCCCGUCAGACACUUACACACAUUGCUGAGGCCCCCUCCCAGUCACCUCUUCCUGAGGAUAAACAGGCACAACCCCCUCAGCCUGUCCUUGUAAGAGAUUCUCCAGACCCUCAAAACAAACUUGGUAACUGUGCUGGACCUGCUCCAGGAGCUCCAUGUCUCGUGUACUGAGGAGUCCAGAACUGCCCACAAUACUCUACGUGUGGCCUCACCAUGGCAAUAUUGUCUGCUGUACCCUGCCAAAAACUCAGGAGGUAAUUUGCACAUUACCACUCCACGUUUCUCAAACAAACUGUAACAUUGUAUCUGCCAAAAUAAAAUCUGAUACAUUGAAAGCAACUGCUUCUGGAGAAUACGGACUGAAAGAUGAGGCAAACACAGCCGGACAAAAAUUCAGGUGUGAACCAGCUCCAUUAUGUUCACAGUGCUAAUUGUUGCAGAGAUUAAACUGAUUCCCAGAGGAACAAAUCUAUCUAAACAAGGUUUGGUUUAAUUACUACUUCAGAUACCAAAAGCAAAUUCAAACAGUCUGUCAGUCAUUAGGAAAACUACUGAAGAAUAAAUCUCUCUAACAAAGGUUGUUGCUUGUUUGG
rnacentral:lncRNA from 1 species